GCCCUCGUAGCUCAGGGGAUAGAGCGCCGGACUCCUAAGCCGGGCGUCGCCGGUUCGAAUCCGGCCGGGGGCACCA
rnacentral:tRNA from 1 species